GUGGGAUCACAUCCCACAGCCGGGUGGUCCCUAAAUGAGCUGAUUCUCAUCAAAGCUGAGAAGCAUAGUCAGGUGUGGUGGCUCACGCCUGUAAUCCCAGCACAUUCGGAGGCCAAGGUGGACGGGCCACUUGAGGCCAGGAGUUCGAGGCCAGCCUGGCCAACAUGGAGAAAUCUUGUCUCUAAAAAAUAAAAGAAUAAAGAAGAAGCAGAACUUUGUAGAGUCCCUCCAGGAAGCAGUGCCACGAGGCCUUGGGGCUGCUUACUACAACUGAAGGAAGUGUAAGCGACCGUCUCUCUGAGACAGCCAGAGAUGAAGUCUCACUAGGUUGCCCAGACUGAUCUUGAACCCCUGGACUCCAGCAAUCCACCUGCCUUGGCCUCCCAAAGUGCUUGGAUUAUGCGUGUGAGCCGUUGCACCUGCCCCAUACCUGAAUUCUUUAUUGAGUGGAAAAUAUGGCUGACCACAACGCCCAGAUUUUAUAGACAGUAGUUCCACUGCCUUUGGGAAUCCAGUUCUUUUUCCCAAUUUCAGGUAUUAAUAUCCUAGGGAAUUCUCUGAUGUGCUUUUGGGUUUACCGGCCUCCCAUGGACCAUUCAUGUGUAGGAGGCAUGAAGGCCAGGGCACGUGAAAGCAUGCCUGCCGCCCUGGACACUGUUCAGCAGGUCCCAGAAGGAGCCUAUGUUUACAGAGUAAGAGGAGAGGCUGACCAGCAAACAGAAGGGUCUGAUUCAUCCCCAAAUCACGAGACAAGCAAGGUGAGAGCAUUCUCCGCUGUUCCCCUUUGUUGCGUCUCUCUACCUCAUGCCUCUCCAGCUCCUGUUUGCCUUCAGGCCAUUCUCACAGGCAAUGCUGAGUGGAAUCAACUUCCAGACAUAAGGCAUAGAAGCCACACUACGUGUGGGUUGCUUGCAUUGAUAGAACAAUUUCCAGAAAGCUGCUGGCCAUCUCUUGUGUUAUAGAGAGAAAGAAAUCUCUUCAUCUCACGUAUAAGGCCAAAAUGGGAGUAUUAUUAAUGCAUCUUAAUGCUGACAAUGCCAUUUUCUGCCACCUACACUGACACUCAUAUUUGUUUUUGUGAUUUAUAACAGCAGUAUUGUUUAAUUAAAUGUUAAUUGCACCAGGA